rnacentral:misc_RNA from 1 species
GAUGAAGAACGUAGCGAAAUGCGAUAAGUAGUGUGAAUUGCAGAAUUCAGUGAAUCAUCGAAUCUUUGAACGCACAUUGCGCCCCUUGGUAUUCCGGGGGGCAUGCCUGUUCGAGCGUCAUUGCAACCCCUCAAGCACAGCUUGUGUGUUGGGCUCUCGUCCCCCGUGGACGGGCCUGAAAUGCAGUGGCAGCACCGAGAUACCGGUGUCUGAGUGUAUGGGCAUUGAUCAUCACUCGAUAGACCCGAUCGGCGCUGACCGUCAAACCACGAUUCCUCGGAAUCAUCCAGUUUUGACCUCGGAUCAGGUAGGAAUACCCGCUGAACUUAAGCAUAUCAAUAAGCGGAGGA